UACAGAGGUGGCAAGCGUUGUUCGGAAUUACUGGGCGUAAAGGGCGCGUAGGCGGCCUUCUAAGUCAGACGUGAAAUCCCCAGGCUUAACUUGGGAACUGCGUCUGAUACUGGAAGGCUUGAGUGCGGGAGAGGGAUGCAGAAUUCCAGGUGUAGCGGUGAAAUUCGUAGAUAUUAGGAAGAACACCGGUGGCGAAGGCGGCCCACUGGAUCGGUACUGACGCUGAGGUGCGAAAGCGUGGGGAGCAAACAGG
rnacentral:rRNA from 1 species